rnacentral:rRNA from 1 species
UCUUGGUCCAAUUAGAGGAAGUAAAAGUCGUAACAAGGUUUCCGUAGGUGAACCUGCGGAAGGAUCAUUAUCUUCAGUACUUUGCUACUGACAGGUGGGCCUGUUAGCCUGUAUAGUAUUACUACUGAUGAGCAGCAUGGCCACAGCCCUUACCCUUGUCUUUUGUGCACCUAUGUUUCCAUAGCAGGCUGACAACCUUGCUGGACGACCCCAUACCAUGAAUAUUUUAUCAGCGUCUGAAAAACCCAAAUUUACAACUUUCAACAACGGAUCUCUUGGUUCUGGCAUCGAUGAAGAACGCAGCGAAAUGCGAUAAGUAGUGUGAAUUGCAGAAUUCAGUGAAUCAUCGAAUCUUUGAACGCACAUUGCGCCCCUUGGUAUUCCAUGGGGCAUGCCUGUUCGAGCGUCAUUUGUACCUCAAGCUAUGCUUGGUGUUGGGUGCCUGUCCCUGUUCUUUCUUGGACUCACCUCAAAGCAAUUGGCAGCCAGUGUUUUGGUAUAGAACUGCAGCACAUUUUGCAAUUCUAGUACCAAAGACUGGAACCAGUAAGACCCUCUACUCUUGACCUCGAAUCAGGCAGGGAUACCCGCUGAACUUAAGCAUAUCAAU